AGGGGCAGAAAGAUCAGAGGCGGUGGCCAAAGGAAGAGGUAAUGAUGAGAGGCUCCUAGUGGUAAAGUGGGAUCUGAUAAACUCAGACCUGGGUGUUUGAGCCUCUGAGAACCCACGUGACUGAGAGAAUAAGUUUCCAGUUACACUGUCCCUUUGGAAUAAGCGACUAAAUGUGGUGUAGUAAGGCAAAGCAGCAGGAAAGGAUGAAAUCUACACACAGCACCGUGGAACAAGCAUGAAAACCUCCAUAUCGGCGAAAAGCACGUGGUGCUGGGAGGGUGGUGCUACCCAAGAAAAAGAAGAUCAUGGGACCAGAAGUGUCUUAUGAAGAGCCCUAAAAUGAUAGGAAAAGUUUCCGGAAGAGGAAU